rnacentral:rRNA from 1 species
UGGGGAAUCUUGCGCAAUGGGCGAAAGCCUGACGCAGCAACGCCGCGUGAGGGACGAAGGCCUUCUGGGUUGUAAACCUCUUUCAGCAGGGACGAUGAUGACGGUACCUGCAGAAGAAGCCCCGGCCAACUACGUGCCAGCAGCCGCGGUAAUACGUAGGGGGCGAGCGUUGUCCGGAUUCAUUGGGCGUAAAGAGCUCGUAGGCGGCUUGGCAAGUCGGGUGUGAAACCUCCAGGCUCAACCUGGAGCCGCCACUCGAUACUGCCAUGGCUAGAGUCCGGUAGGGGACCACGGAAUUCCUGGUGUAGCGGUGAAAUGCGCAGAUAUCAGGAGGAACACCGGUGGCGAAGGCGGUGGUCUGGGCCGGAACUGACGCUGAGGAGCGAAAGCGUGGGGAGCGAACAGGAUUAGAUACCCCCGUAGUCC